GCCUCGUGAAUUCAUCUCCGGGGGUAGAGCACUGUUUCGGCUAGGGGGCCAUCCCGGCUUACCAACCCGAUGCAAACUGCGAAUACCGGAGAAUGUUAUCACGGGAGACACACGGCGGGUGCUAACGUCCGUCGUGAAGAGGGAAACAACCCAGACCGCCAGCUAAGGUCCCAAAGUCAUGGUUAAGUGGGAAACGAUGUGGGAAGGCCCAGACAGCCAGGAUGUUGGCUUAGAAGCAGCCAUCAUUUAAAGAAAGCGUAAUAGCUCACUGGUCGAGUCGGCCUGCGCGGAAGAUGUAACGGGGCUAAACCAUGCACCGAAGCUGCGGCAGCGAACGUAUCACUUAAAGCGAUUCAGCGGGUUACGAUUGACGGAGCGAAGCGACGUCAAAGCGUAUACAAAGUCGAGUCGGUUUAAGGAUACGUUCGUUGGG
rnacentral:rRNA from 1 species